CCCAUUGAACAAUUUUUGCGAAUAUUUAUCGGAAUAUCUAAAAACAUUCUACAUCAAGAACACGUAAAUAUGCAAGAGAAGGAAAAUGUAUUAGACAUAUCUUUGCAAAAUGAAAAUGACAAAAAUUAUUAAGAGGAAUUAUUUGUUGGACUACCUGAAACUGUUUGUUAUGAACAACAUAUAAAUAUGCAAAGAAACGAAAAUAUUCCAAAUAUAUCUUUGAUAGACAUACUGGAAAAAAUUGUGAAGAAAAAAUACAAGUUACUAUAGAUCCCAAAUAUAUCCCAAUAAAUCUAUUAGAACCUAAGAUUACUCUAAUAAAGCUCACACGUCGAGACUGCGAAAAAUAUAUUAAGAAUAGUCAGCAACCAUUAACGUUUAUUGAAAACAUUAUUCCAUCAAAAAUUACACGAAAACGGAAAGCACGUAAACCUUGCAGUCGUUGCAGAUAAAAAUAACCGUAUAUAUUUUAAGAUAUACGUUAUAUUUUAGUAUGCGUGCUUCCUACUGUUCUUUUGUUGGCUUAUUAUAUAAUUGUUAUAUAAUUAUGUAACACAUAUUGUUU